rnacentral:rRNA from 1 species
AUUGAACGCUGGCGGCAGGCCUAACACAUGCAAGUCGAGCGGAUGAAGGGAGCUUGCUCCUGGAUUCAGCGGCGGACGGGUGAGUAAUGCCUAGGAAUCUGCCUGGUAGUGGGGGAUAACGUCCGGAAACGGGCGCUAAUACCGCAUACGUCCUGAGGGAGAAAGUGGGGGAUCUUCGGACCUCACGCUAUCAGAUGAGCCUAGGUCGGAUUAGCUAGUUGGUGGGGUAAAGGCCUACCAAGGCGACGAUCCGUAACUGGUCUGAGAGGAUGAUCAGUCACACUGGAACUGAGACACGGUCCCGACUCCUACGGGAGGCAGCAGUGGGGAAUAUUGGACAAUGGGCGAAAGCCUGAUCCAGCCAUGCCGCGUGUGUGAAGAAGGUCUUCGGAUUGGAAAGCACUUUAAGUUGGGAGGAAGGGCAGUAAGUUAAUACCUUGCUGUUUUGACGUUACCAACAGAAUAAGCACCGGCUAACUUCGUG